rnacentral:lncRNA from 10 species
CCGGCAUGAAUAGUACUUAUACAUGUUUAGAUGCAAAUCUUUCCUGACAUAGUGUUCCUCCCCUCUGGAGGAUGCGGCGCUCAAGAUGCCAUGUUGGAAACAGAGAAACUGGACCCUGAUCUACCGGUGCCUUGACCUUGGACUGCCCAGCCUCCAGACCUGUGUGAAAUAAAUUUAUUUUCUUUAUAAAUUAUCCAAUCGGUGGUAUUCUGCUAUAGAAGCACAAAACAGACUAAGACAGGCAAGAAGAUUAUUCUGGCUGCAUAGAUGAGU